AUUGCUUCUCUGUCUUUUGGCUAAGAUCAAGUGUAAUAUCUGUUCUUAUCAGUUUAGUAUCUGAUACGUCCUCUUUCUGGGGACCAUAUAUUAAAUUGAUUUUUGUAACUGAGUGAUGGAAUAUGUGUUUGAUCUGUCCAGUCCACGCAUUGUUAUGGUGUUGCAGUAUCUCCACAAAAUGGUUAAAGCAA